ACGGGAGGCGGCAGUGAGGAAUAUUGGUCAAUGGUCGGAAGACUGAACCGGCCAAGUAGCGUGAAGGAUGACUGCCCUAUGGGUUGUAAACUUCUGUUAUGCGGGAAUAAAAAAGUCCACGCGUGGGCUCUUGCAUGUACCGCAUGAAUAAGGAUCGGCUAAUUCCGUGCCAGCAGCCGCGGUAAUACGGAAGAUCCGAGCGUUAUCCGGAUUUAUUGGGUUUAAAGGGAGCGUAGGCGGGCCUUUAAGUCAGUGGUCAAAGCGUGUAGCUCAACCAUACCACGCCGUUGAUACUGGAGGCCUUGAGUGCAAAUAAGGAUGGUGGAAUUCAUGGUGUAGCGGUGAAAUGCUUCGAUAUCAUGAAGAACUCCGAUUGCGAAGGCAGCUGUCCGGGGUGUAACUGCCGCUAAUGCUCGAAAGUGCGGGUAUCAAACAGGAUUAGAUACCCUGGUA
rnacentral:rRNA from 1 species